rnacentral:rRNA from 1 species
UACGUAGGGUGCAAGCGUUGUCCGGAAUUAUUGGGCGUAAAGAGCUCGUAGGCGGUUUGUCGCGUCUGCUGUGAAAACUCGGGGCUUAACCCCGGGCCUGCAGUGGGUACGGGCAGACUAGAGUGCGGUAGGGGAGACUGGAAUUCCUGGUGUAGCGGUGAAAUGCGCAGAUAUCGGGAAGAACACCUAUGGCGAAGGCAGCUCUCUGGGACGGUACUGACGCUGAGACGCGAAAGCGUGGGGAGCAAACAGG